GGUCCUUCAGCUACAGGUCAUCAUCACCCAUGGAUGGGCUGCAUAUUUUUCUGGCUGUUCUAAUGGGUAACUUUUUUAUUUUUAUUUAUUUUGCUAUUUUUGUGUUCAGGUUUUGUUUUUGAAAGGUAUUUUGUACAUACAGAUUCAAUGUCGUUCAGCAGAGCAUUAACCAUUUUUUUUAACAACUGAAUUUAUAUGCUGUUUUUAGGAGUUGUUUCCUGCGGUCAUGAUUGGAUUUCCACAUCAGCAUUGGAUUUGACAGCCAGUCAGGGAGACAACAUCACUCUGUACUGUGACUGCAAACUGUCAACUGGCGUGUACAUCGCGUGGUACAGGAACUGCUCUCAUGAGAACCAGCCAACUCUUGUUCUAAAAACAAAAAUUGAAUAUAACCCUGGUCAGCAGAAUGCAUAUUCUCUGAACCCUUUGCCCCGUUUUACAUUUCUAAGGAACUUUUCUUCUGAGUCUUAUGACCUGCAGAUCAUCAAUGUCACUGAUUCUGACGAGGGCCUCUACUACUGUGGAACUCAACAGGUCAAGGUGGAAGAAAACGAAUUCGUCAGUCAAAUAAAUAUUAACACAUAUGGCAACAUCACAAGACUCAAACUCAAAUCAUCAGACAUCGGCCCCCGACAUGACUGCAGUGACUCCAGUAAUGCGUCCUGGAUGUUGGCCUUCACUCCAGCAUUUUCUCUUCUCUCUUCCUUUGUCUCCUUUAUGGUUAUUAUUUACUUCUGUCAGAAAACAGAAAAAGGACUUGAAGUUCAUCAGACUACAUCAGCCAGCCAAGGCCAAAUAAGAUGGUACCAGGAUAAAGACAUGUGUUUGACACAGGUUGUGUUCAGAGUGAAGGAUGCUUCUACGCGGCAGUAGAUGAGGGCCAAACAGAGCGAACUGCUGGAUUAUAAUAGACACAGCUGGCAUCAUAUUAUGUGGAGUUAAAUAUUAAAGGUUAGACCGCUGUGUUCUUUGAAUCAUUGACCCAUCAAAAUUGUUUUUUGUUUGUUUCACCUAUUCAAAACCUGAUGAAUGAUCCUACAGCUUAAAUCUUGCUCUAUAGUUCUAGUUCAAAUCCAUUUAAUCUCUCUUUUUGUAAAUCAUUUGCAUGUCCAAAACAAGCUCUGGAUAGACUGUGAUUGUAGCUGUUAUUAUUAUCAUUUUGAUUUCAGACAAUAUAGUACUUCAUUUCUUUAUGUCUGCAACAAAAUAAACCACAAUGAAAUGAUCA
ensembl:lncRNA uncharacterized LOC114438075